AUAACCAUGGUGUGGGCAUUGUAGUAAAAGUGAUUUGAAGUGGUCCUAUGCUUCGUGAAAGGAUUCAGUAUCCUUUUAAUAAAAAUUGAAAAUCUCAAUCCUUAAUUCU
rnacentral:snoRNA from 1 species